rnacentral:rRNA from 1 species
UGUACACACCGCCCGUCGCUACUACCGAUUGAAUGGCUCAGUGAGGCCUUCGGACUGGUCCAGGGAGGUCGGCAACGACCACCCAGGACCGGAAAGUUGGUCAAACUCGGUCAUUUAGAGGAAGUAAAAGUCGUAACAAGGUCUCCGUAGGUGAACCUUCGGAGGGAUCAUUA